UGAGCACGUCAUAUUUUUAUU
rnacentral:piRNA from 1 species